GCUAAACGCGAAGAACCUUACCAAGGCUUGACAUGGAUUUCUAAGCACGUGAAAGCGUGUGACCCUUCGGGGGACUUCCACAGGUGCUGCAUGGCCGUCGUCAGCUCGUGUCGUGAGAUGUUGGGUUAAGUCCCGCAACGAGCGCAACCCUCGUCUUUAGUUGCCAGCAUUCAGUUGGGCACUCUAGAGAGACUGCCGCGAAUAACGCGGAGGAAGGUGGGGAUGACGUCAAGUCAUCAUGGCCCUUACGUCCUGGGCUACACACGUGCUACAAUGGGCGCUACAAAGGGCUGCAAGACCGCGAGGUGGAGCCAAUCCCUAAAAUCGCCCUCAGUUCAGAUUGCAGUCUGCAACCCGACUGCAUGAAGGUGGAAUCGCUAGUAAUCGCGGAUCAGAACGCCGCGGUGAAUACGUUCCCGGGUCUUGUACACACCG
rnacentral:rRNA from 1 species